ensembl:lncRNA
UUGGGUCACGUGCUUUUGCUGUUCAACAUGGAGGCACUUAGCAUGAGCUGAGGGUGGGGUUUCCAGCCCUUUGACACCUAAAGGCCAUUCUUCUGGACAGCUGCACAGGCCCAGCCUCAGGGUCCCAGCCAAUCCCCGGGCAGCCUGCCCUGGGAGGAGCUGACUCCAAGUUCCUACCAAACAACUGGGUCGUGUGAAGGCUGUGAAGCCUUUACUGUCCCCGUUACUGACACUCAUGAAACAUAUGGGUUCACUUGGCUGCCACAGACGGAGCUCUAUUUGCAUUUGUUAAAUGGGAGAACUGAAACAAACAAAAAAAACAAACAAGUCAGCCCAUGUGGAAAAAUCAAAUCAGUCAACUCCACCUGUUCCCACGUAAUUAUACAAGUGAUACCAAAUCUGAUCCUCAGAUCAAACUUAUGAGAAACUUUAUACAGACACAUUCAGGAGGGCCUGUUAAUAUGAGUCAUGGAAGAG